CAUGCUCCCUAACACAGUCACACCCUAACGCAGAAACGAGGGCUGUCGGUGGUUAGAAGCUGUAGCACACUGAUAACAACGCGCCCUCCGAUUAGCACUCGUCCGUUCUUUCUCACAAAACUGAACCUUGGACUUGCGAUCAAAGAAUAGUUUGUGGAACAGAUGAUUCUUAACAGAUUCCCCAGCGCUGACUCAACAGGGAGAGAACCUGCUGCUGAUCUGCUAUAACAAACAGCGUGACUCCCCUGACGCGGCACGGACACCGACUGAGCUCCUCGGCCGGAGCUUCUCAAUCUGCCUCCAUUACCAUGGCAAUCAGAGCCGAGCCUUCACCGCAGGAGACGCCUCCCUGAAGCUUAGGUUUUCUGCCUGGUUGCCCUGAUCAGACAUGUGCUGAGGGGCGGUCGCAGAUAAGGCAGGACGGAUGGAGUUAUAUGGAGUCAGGCCUUUGUGUGUCUUAUCUGCACCGUGGUCUCUGCCUGAGACCAGCUCACCUCUGGAGGGGGAGACGCUGCACUUCGUCUUCUCAGAUGAAGGCCCUCAGAGCUUGCGACCUCCUCCGAUGCCACCCUCGGUCCAAAGACCCGGGAAGUCAACGUUUGAGAGCAUCAGGAAGCUCCUCCGUCGCCCCCGACGGCGCUGCGUCAGGCGCUGGGUGUGGAGUGAAACGUCGGCCCGCGCUUUCUAUGAGAACCAGAGCCUGCAGCUCCCACAUGGUGUGAAAGCUCUGGGGGAGGAGGGCAGGUCACGGCGGGAUGGGCCGGGUUACGUCUCCUCACCCUCAGAGCCAUAAAUCAAAAUAAAUUAAAGUCAGGCUCCCAGCACAUAUGGUGCCUUCAGGAACGGGGCUCUUUAAACCAGGACAGGCUUCAACCAUUUAUAGUUUAGGGAGGAUUGUUGAGGCCGACCAGUGUUUCCUAGCAACUGGCCAGUUUCAAAUGAAAGAUUCAAUGUGGUUGCAUAGUGUAAAGACAUGAGAAGUCACGGGGGGCAUCAUAGAGUGCAUAACCUUCAAUACUGCAACAGUUCAGGAAAACUGUCAACCAUUACAAUAUGACUUGAGAUUUUAGUAAAUGAUGUAACUAACAUUUCUCUAAGAAUCUAAACACCCUUUCAUUUCCUUAACUAGAACCGCAAAGAGCACCAGUUGCAUCAGUUUGCUCUGGAGGCCGUCAUGGCGUCAGUACAGUGGAAGCUCUUCCUCCUCUUCCUCCUCCUCUUCCUCCUGUCUCACAGGGCAUUAGCCAUAAGUCCAGGCUAAGCCUCUUAUCACCUUCUCCCCACAGCGCUCUUUUGUUUGUGCUCUCUUCCCUCUGCGGAGCCUCCCGACUCUGAUUCUCUAAUUAUUUUCCCGAUUGAAGCAACGACGAUGUCGACGCCAACAUUUGGGAGACGCUCGAUAAAGCGCCGGACGUGUCACACGUAGACUUUCCCCCAUAUUUGAGCAAUUACAGCACGUGACUGUUUGACAGGGUUUCAAACGGAGUCAUUAGCGAGUCUGUGGCGGAGGAUAAUUUUAGUAAAUUCAUGCGAUCGCCCUAGAAACCACUGACAUUCCCGUUAAAUCUAUGUCAUCUCCUAUAUGUAAUUAGCUGCGUCCUUCAUACUAGUGAGUGACCCGCGUGCCCCGCCACCGCUGGCUGCCAUAAUGAGUUCAUUUACAGCGUGGUUAAAACGGUGGUGGAUGAAUCAUCACGUCCACGGGGCCUGGCUCCAAACAUAGAACUUCAUAACAAGUGCAGAUUCGUUUCCAAAGGUGGAUUAUGUUUCAGAUUUAAUGCCGCGUGACGCGUUCCUCAAGUCGCAGAUGUGUCACAGGAUCCGAAAGGGAGCGACACCAGAGAUACAGGUACAAUGCGUCGUACCGUGAACGAGAGAAGGUCCCGAUGUAUCAGACACAGUGUCAAGUGUCAACACAAAAAUAGCUUCUUUUGCUGUGAGGAAUCUGUAUCUACCAACCAUCCGAGACACACUCUUAUGAAAACAACCAGCACAUUCUGCAUUGUCAACAUAUUUCCCCAUAAACUUCCUUGUUGGUUUCACACCAGGAAACAACUACAGAUACAUAGAUAGUUAAAUGUGUCCAAGGCACCUUGAAAAAAUCAACAGGACCUCAGCUGGUUGGGUGGUUUCAUCAUGUGUGUUGAUCUGAUGUGGGUCAUACAGACAGCGAGAAGUGGUGUCAUGGCCGAGACGGUGAAGAAGAAGAACACAAACAAACCUUUGUUGCUUCUGGAUCCACUCUGUGCCACUUUUGAUCUCCUAUAAAGUUGUGCAUUAGAAAACACACCUACUUUGAUGCAGUGUGGCAUUGACUCAUUCACACUUUAUUACUAAACUGAUCACAGCAGCUUCGUUCCAGUUAAUCUCUGUAAACCUGCUCAUCAUCAGUCUCUGCAUUCACACAAACACUUCCUCCCAGAUGAAAUAGUUUCAUUAUGAGCUCCUUUCCUCCUCUGCAGGUUAACCCACUGCUUUCAUUUCCAUGAACAGAUAAUGGGCCAAUUCAACUGUAAAUGUAUUCUGAUUAACCAUAAUCCACCUAAAGAGGUUUCAAAACCGCUGAAGCUGAAGUACGUGAGCUGAAACAUGAGACCAAAGUCCUGAAGCCAGACUGGAGCCUAAUUAGCAAUCACACACACGCACACACGCACACACGCACACACGCACACACACACACACGCACACACACACACACACACACACACACACACACACACACACACACACACACACACACACACACACACACACACACACACACACACACACACACACACACACACACACACACACACACACACAGUCUUUGUCUCGGGGCACAGUUUGAUAUGCUGCAGCCGGGCCUCUGAGCUCCCACUGAAAGCAGAGCCUUCAAAAGCAGACGUGUCCACCUCCACCUGCCUCCUCAGGAGACACAGAUGAGGCCUUGUUCAGCUUUAGAAGCAACCGGCACAUUUCAGUCCGCCCCAAAUGACUCCGACAAUUAACCUGAAAGCCACACUGCAUUAUUUGGAAGGUUAAACACUUUCAUUUACUAUUUGUUUAUCAAACCAGCUGCAGGAACUGGAGACUUCCAGGGAGUUUUUCCCAGGAUUAAUGAUGAAAACAGACUGACUACGACGAGUAGUUUCAUAAACAGACCACGGUGCCAGGCGCUGCCUUGGCUGCACAUUCUGUGAACCAUAAAGGUCUCUAUUCCUCCGUGCGUUUAUCAGAGAUCUGAAAAGUCAACAGUGACUUAAACCCUAACGGGCUCGUGACUGCGUGGUACAAGUUCAGCAGCUUUCAGCACAAUGAGCUGCCCCACAGGGAACGAGGUGACGUGGGCCUGGUGCAACGAGGACCUGUUCACCCAGAGCAGGUGCAUCCUGGUUCAGCAGGAAGUCUCUGCACACGCUCCGUCUGACGAACGCGUGGGCCGGAGCGGUUCUGGGAAGGAAAACCCGGCGCGGAGCCAUCUCUCGUCUGCUAUUGUCCACAUCUGCGCCAGGGGUUUUUCCUCGCAGCGAUUCAGUGCAACGCCUGGAGGAUUUCACGCAUAACGUCGGCGGCGUGAGACAAGCUGCGACGUUUCCAGGUCCCAGUUUGUCCCAGCGCUCUGAAUCCCAGUCUGGGAACGCUGACAGCUUGUCUCCUGUGCGUCGGCUGCUGCUGUGGCGCUCUGCGGCGUGUUGGCGUUUCCAUACGUGCUGGGACUGAUAAGGCAGUUUUAGUGAGUGAGGCACUUUGUGACACCUACAUUUAAGAGCUGGUGUCACGUUUUGUUAAAACACCCCGAGGACAAGAUGUGGAGUGACAUGAUAGCGCGAGAAGUGGAAGAUGAACUGUAUAAAGCCUCAGGAGAACAGAGAUGAAUGAAACACACACAUACAGGUACAGGGUCAGUUCAAGGACAGGAACGGAGCCAUGUCAAAGUGUGUGCAUGUUAAUUACUUAUGAUCGAAAUCUGACCAGCAAACAGUUAUUUCAAAACAUUAAAUCAUAACAUCCUGAGCCAUUUUAUUAAUAAUAAAAUUUAAAUGAUGUAUCUGUCAUCAGAAACUAAAAUCAUUUGUUAAUUAGCUUGUUUCAUUGAGGUCCGCUGUGAACAUGAGUUGAAUGUAAUAAAAUGAAUCUUUGAUCAUG